AUCCAAGUGUAACAUUUUUUCUAUUAUUCGUUCUUGCGUAAUUUGUUUUUCCUUUGCGUACGCAAAUUAGUUUAUACUUCUUUUCGUCCAUUUGUUUAGUCUUUUUUUUUUGGCGUUAAUUUAGGUGUUUAUUCCUUUCUGUCAGUUUUCGCGCCCUCGUUAGCGUUUCUGUGCUGUUUCAUCUUCAUUAGCGCCUUUCUAAGUUUCUAUAGUUUUAUUUUCCGCAUGUUCUAGCGUAUUUUUCAUAUCGUAGUUUUGCAGUACAGUUUGGGCAGUUCAUUUUGGUCCGCGCUUAGCGCAGUUCUGUUUAGUUUCUUGCAAGUCUCUUCGCGUUAUUCGCAGUCCGCUUUACAGCAGUUUUCUCUGGCCGAAACAAUUUUCAACCCACGCUGUUUGUAUGCACACUCUUAGUACCAAGCACGUCGGCUACAAUAAAUCUUCAUUCGAAUUUGGUUUGUGGUGUUGUUAUUAAAGGCCAGGAGACUUA
rnacentral:lncRNA from 1 species